CGCCCGCUGGCCGACGGGGCAGGUGCUCGUUCCGACCGGGUCGAUCGAGACGGCGGAGUAGUCGCCCCAGCGUUCGACGGUGUCGGAGGACGG
rnacentral:tRNA from 1 species